rnacentral:tRNA from 1 species
GUUGUUUUGGCAGAAUAGUGCAAUUGAUUUAGGAUCUUUAUAUGUGUUUUUAGCACAAGUAACA